CAGCAGCCGCGGGAAUACGGAGGGGGCUAGCGUUGUUCGGAAUUACUGGGCGUAAAGCGCACGUAGGCGGCUUUGCAAGUCAGAGGUGAAAGCCCGGGGCUCAACUCCGGAAUAGCCUUUGAGACUGCAUCGCUUGAACACGGGAGAGGUGAGUGGAAUUCCGAGUGUAGAGGUGAAAUUCGUAGAUAUUCGGAAGAACACCAGUGGCGAAGGCGGCUCACUGGACCGUUGUUGACGCUGAGGUGCGAAAGCGUGGGAAGCAAACAGGAUUAGAUACCCCGGUAGUCCCUGUCUCUUAUAC
rnacentral:rRNA from 1 species